AUUGAACGCUGGCGGCAUGCCUUACACAUGCAAGUCGAACGGGGGUAGCAAUACCCUAGUGGCGAACGGGUGAGUAAAGCAUCGGAACGUACCCAGUCGUGGGGGAUAACGUAGCGAAAGUUACGCUAAUACCGCAUACGAUCUGAGGAUGAAAGCAGGGGACUCGCAAGAGCCUUGCGCGAUUGGAGCGGCCGAAGUCGGAUUAGCUAGUUGGUGGGGUAAAAGCCUACCAAGGCGACGAUCCGUAGCUGGUCUGAGAGGAUGAUCAGCCACACUGGGACUGAGACACGGCCCAGACUCCUACGGGAGGCAGCAGUGGGGAAUUUUGGACAAUGGGGGAAACCCUGAUCCAGCCAUGCCGCGUGAGUGAAGAAGGCCUUCGGGUUGUAAAGCUCUUUCAGACGGAAAGAAAUGGUCUUGGCUAAUACCCGAGAUCGAUGACGGUACCGUAAGAAGAAGCACCGGCUAACUACGUGCCAGCCGCCGCGGUAA
rnacentral:rRNA from 1 species